rnacentral:ncRNA from 1 species
GUGUUCUUUAAUAGGAGAGACGGUUGACAUCUCCCCUGAUGAGGACGGGAACAGACUUCGGUGUUUCUUGUUACCAAAAGUAUGCGGUUAAGGAUGCCCACCUCAUAUGAGGUGGAUUUUACCCAUAUUUUUU